AAUCGAAAAAGGCAAAUCUGCCGAAAGGUAGGGACGCAAAGCCACGGGUCUAAGGCGAGCGCCAGUUCGCUAUGAUAGCCGGGUUGCCGAA
rnacentral:ncRNA from 1 species